CCCGUAGGGCGCAAGCGUUGUCCGGAAUUAUUGGGCGUAAAGAGCUCGUAGGCGGCCUGUUGCGUCCGCUGUGAAAUCCCGGGGCUCAACCCCGGGCCUGCAGUGGAUACGGGCUGGCUAGAGGCAGGCAGGGGAGAACGGAAUUCCUGGUGUAGCGGUGAAAUGCGCAGAUAUCAGGAGGAACACCGGUGGCGAAGGCGGUUCUCUGGGCCUGUACUGACGCUGAGGAGCGAAAGCGUGGGGAGCGAACAGG
rnacentral:rRNA from 1 species